CCUGUAGCUUAAAUGGAUAAAGCGCCAGUUUCCGGAGCUGAAGAUAUAGGUUCAAUUCCUAUCAG
rnacentral:tRNA from 1 species